AAGCGGGGGACAACAUUUGGAAACAGAUGCUAAUACCGCAUAACAACGUUGUUCGCAUGAACAACGCUUAAAAGAUGGCUUCUCGCUAUCACUUCUGGAUGGACCUGCGGUGCAUUAGCUUGUUGGUGGGGUAACGGCCUACCAAGGCGAUGAUGCAUAGCCGAGUUGAGAGACUGAUCGGCCACAAUGGGACUGAGACACGGCCCAUACUCCUACGGGAGGCAGCAGUAGGGAAUCUUCCACAAUGGGCGCAAGCCUGAUGGAGCAACACCGCGUGAGUGAAGAAGGGUUUCGGCUCGUAAAGCUCUGUUGUUAAAGAAGAACACGUAUGAGAGUAACUGUUCAUACGUUGACGGUAUUUAACCAGAAAGUCACGGCUAACUACGUGCCAGCAGCCGCGGUAAUACGUAGGUGGCAAGCGUUAUCCGGAUUUAUUGGGCGUAAAGAGAGUGCAGGCGGUUUUCUAAGUCUGAUGUGAAAGCCUUCGGCUUAACCGGAGAAGUGCAUCGGAAACUGGAUAACUUGAGUGCAGAAGAGGGUAGUGGAACUCCAUGUGUAGCGGUGGAAUGCGUAGAUAUAUGGAAGAACACCAGUGGCGAAGGCGGCUACCUGGUCUGCAACUGACGCUGAGACUCGAAAGCAUGGGUAGCGAACAGGAUUAGAUACCCUGGUAGUCCAUGCCGUAAACGAUGAGUGCUAGGUGUUGGAG
rnacentral:rRNA from 1 species